CCCUUAGAUGUUCUGGGCUGCACGCGCGCUACACUGAUGCGUUCAACGAGUUUUCAUCCUUGCCCGGUAGGGUUGGGUAAUCUUCUGAAAACGCAUCGUGAUGGGGAUAGAUUAUUGUAAUUAUUAAUCUUCAACGAGGAAUUCCUAGUAAGCGCGAAUCAUCAGUUCGUGCUGAUUACGUCCCUGCCCUUUGUACACACCGCCCGUCGCUCCUACCGAUUGGGUGUGCUGGUGAAAUGUUCGGAUCGGCCGUUUGUCGCGGUUUCCGCGUCAUGUGGCUGAGAAGUUCAUUAAACCCUCCCACCUAGAGGAAGGAGAAGUCGUAACA
rnacentral:rRNA from 1 species